CACAAUUUGACCAAUUACAUGAUGAUAUGAUGACGAUAACUACAAUACACAAGGUAAUGGGUCUAUUGAUGACUGGCGGAGGUUAGGAUGGUUCAGGAAGAUCUGCAUAGGGUGGUUCAAACCAGAAUACAAGAUGAUGCAACAGUUGCGUAUUAUCUACUCUUUGAUAACCAGUCUCGUGUUGUUGGUGGGUAUCUUAGAGUUGAACUUGCAGAGAAUCUGGUACUUAAUACACUUGAUGCCAAAAAAUGGAGGGUAGUUUUUGGUGUUAUAGACAAAAUUUGGGCUAGUGGAGAAGUCUAGCUGACUUAGUUGAUCGUCAUGAUGUAAGUUUUUUUAUAAAUAUAUAUUUUUCAUUAAAGAUACUAAAAGUUUAAUAAAUUCUAUGAUUUGGGUUUAUUUAGGGUGGAUGCUUGAAAGGUAAUA